CUUGCUUCUAUGACGUUAGCGGCGGACGGGUGAGUAACACGUGGGCAACCUGCCUGUAAGACUGGGAUAACUUCGGGAAACCGAAGCUAAUACCGGAUAGGAUCUUCUCCUUCAUGGGAGAUGAUUGAAAGAUGGUUUCGGCUAUCACUUACAGAUGGGCCCGCGGUGCAUUAGCUAGUUGGUGAGGUAACGGCUCACCAAGGCAACGAUGCAUAGCCGACCUGAGAGGGUGAUCGGCCACACUGGGACUGAGACACGGCCCAGACUCCUACGGGAGGCAGCAGUAGGGAAUCUUCCGCAAUGGACGAAAGUCUGACGGAGCAACGCCGCGUGAGUGAUGAAGGCUUUCGGGUCGUAAAACUCUGUUGUUAGGGAAGAACAAGUACAAGAGUAACUGCUUGUACCUUGACGGUACCUAACCAGAAAGCCACGGCUAACUACGUGCCAGCAGCCGCGGUAAUACGUAGGUGGCAAGCGUUAUCCGGAAUUAUUGGGCGUAAAGCGCGCGCAGGCGGUUUCUUAAGUCUGAUGUGAAAGCCCACGGCUCAACCGUGGAGGGUCAUUGGAAACUGGGGAACUUGAGUGCAGAAGAGAAAAGCGGAAUUCCACGUGUAGCGGUGAAAUGCGUAGAGAUGUGGAGGAACACCAGUGGCGAAGGCGGCUUUUUGGUCUGUAACUGACGCUGAGGCGCGAAAGCGU
rnacentral:rRNA from 1 species